GCCCGCCUAGCUCAAUCGGAUAGAGCGUCAGACUCUUAAAAGUUAGGCGAUCUGAAGGCUGCGAGUUCGACCCUCGCGGUGGGCU